GUUGUUGGGUAGGGGAGCGUUCUGUAAGCCGUCGAAGGUGUGCUGUGAGGCAUGCUGGAGGUAUCAGAAGUGCGAAUGCUGACAUAAGUAACGAUAAAGCGGGUGAAAAGCCCGCUCGCCGGAAGACCAAGGGUUCCUGUUCAACGUUAAUCGGAGCAGGGUGAGUCGACCCCUAAGGCGAGGCCGAAAGGCGUAGUCGAUGGGAAACAGGUUAAUAUUCCUGUACUCGGUGUUACUGCGAAGGGGGGACGGAGAAGGCUAUAUCAGCCGGGCGACGGUUGUCCCGGUUUAAGCGUGUAGGCGGAG
rnacentral:rRNA from 1 species